AUUCGAUUAGAGUUUGAUCAUGGCUCUUGAUGAACGCUAGCGGUAUGCUUAACACAUGCAAGUCGUACGAGAGUCUUUGACUCUAGUGGCGGACGGGUGAGUAACGCGUGAGAAUCUACCCCUAGGUGGGAAAUAACAGUAGGAAACCGCUGCUAAUGUCCCAUAUACCUUUUGGUGAAAAGAGUAAUCUGCCUAAGGAGGAGCUCGCGUCUGAUUAGCUAGUUGGUAGGGUAAAGGCCUACCAAGGCGAUGAUCAGUAGCUGGUUUGAGAGGAUGAUCAGCCACAUUGGGACUGAGACACGGCCCAAACUCCUACGGGAGGCAGCAGUGGGGAAUCUUGCACAAUGGAGGAAACUCUGAUGCAGCGAUGCCGCGUGAGUGAAGAAGGCCUUUGGGUUGUAAAGCUCUUUCGUCGGGGAAGAAAAUGACUGUACCCGAAUAAGAAGGUCCGGCUAACUUCGUGCCAGCAGCCGCGGUAAUACGAAGGGACCUAGCGUAGUUCGGAAUUACUGGGCUUAAAGAGUUCGUAGGUGGUUGAAGAAGUUGGUGGUGAAAUCCCAGAGCUUAACUCUGGAACUGCCAUCAAAACUUUUCAGCUAGAGUAUGAUAGAGGAAAGCAGAAUUUCUAGUGUAGAGGUGAAAUUCGUAGAUAUUAGAAAGAAUACCAAUUGCGAAGGCAGCUUUCUGGAUCAUUACUGACACUGAGGAACGAAAGCAUGGGUAGCGAAGAGGAUUAGAUACCCUCGUAGUCCAUGCCGUAAACGAUGUGUGUUAGACGUUGGAAAUUUAUUUUCAGUGUCGCAGCGAAAGCGAUAAACACACCGCCUGGGGAGUACGACCGCAAGGUUAAAACUCAAAUGAAUUGACGGGGACCCGCACAAGUAGUGGAGCAUGUGGUUUAAUUCGAAGAUACGCGCAGAACCUUACCAACACUUGACAUGUUCGUCGCGACUUUAAGAGAUUAAAGUUUUCGGUUCGGCCGGACGAAACACAGGUGCUGCAUGGCCGUCGUCAGCUCGUGUCGUGAGAUGUUGGGUUAAGUCCCGCAACGAGCGCAACCCUCACUUUUAGUUGCCAUCAUUUAGUUGGGCACUCUGAAAGAACUGCCAGUGAUAAGCUGGAGGAAGGUGGGGAUGACGUCAAGUCCUCAUGGCCCUUACGUGUUGGGCUACACACGUGCUACAAUGGUAUCUACAACAGGAAGCAAAACUGCGAAGUUAAGCAAAUCCUUAAAAGAUACCUCAGUUCGGAUUGCACUCUGCAACUCGAGUGCAUGAAGCUGGAAUUACUAGUAAUCGUGGAUCAGCGUGCCACGGUGAAUGCGUUCCCGGGUCUUGUAGA
rnacentral:rRNA from 1 species